AGGAACAACAGUGGCGGUGGCCAGCUCUCCAGCCCUGGAUUCAGCUCCGGCAGUAACUACCGCAGCUCCCAGUCCGCAGGGGCCUGGAUGCUCCAGGGCGGG
rnacentral:pre_miRNA from 1 species